UUCCGCCUACGGGGCGCAGCAGUAGGGAAUCUUCCACAAUGGGCGAAAGCCUGAUGGAGCAACGCCGCGUGGGUGAAGAAGGGCUUCGGAUCGUAACACCCUGUUGUUAGAGAAGAAAGUGCGUGAGAGUAACUGUUCACGUUUCGACGGUAUCUAACCAGAAAGCCACGGCUAACUACGUGCCAGCAGCCGCAGUAAUACGUAGGUGGCAAGCGUUAUCCGGAUUUAUUGGGCGUAAAGGGAACGCAGGCGGUCUUUUAAGUCUGAUGUGAAAGCCUUCGGCUUAACCGGAGUAGUGCAUUGGG
rnacentral:rRNA from 1 species